AUACCUAUUUCACGUGUUUUGGUGUUUAUAAAUUUGUGUUUCUAAAUAAGAAUUCGGCAUGGUUUUUUGAAGAAAUUGAUUUAAUAAUUUCUUAUGUGGGUCGUUAACAUAAUAUAUAUAAAAUGCACCGGUUAAUUUCGGCCCGGAACAUAUAUCAAAACAAUUUACAAGGAUUAAAUAAUUCAUCUCUUUUUGUUUUGAAAAACACAUUGGUUACAGAGGUAAAAUGCUCAUUUUGCCAAAGAAUCCUACAAUCAUCCUCUACUCCAGAAAACGUCUAUUCUAUAAGACAUCAAUCUACGAAAACAGCCAGUGCUCUUAAGACUCAUAAGAAAAAAAUCAAACACAAAGCUUAUAAAAAGUAUGGGGAACUUUUAGAAGUUAAUCAUGGAAGUAUGUUGGAAUCAAAAGUGUCAAUUAGUAAAUUACAUGCUUCUCACUUAUCAAAAUUAGCAUCAAGUUCAGUUUCUCUUGGACAAUUGCAUCAACUGACAAAGCCUUUACAGAAAGUAAACAAUAUUGAAGUUGAUCCCGAGCUGUUGGAGACAGUGAAAAAGAAAAUUCUAAAGAUACCAUCAGAAAAUACUCUAGAAGAUGAUAAAUGUGCUCUUAUAUUUACAAAUCACAAAAUUACCUCUAUAGAAAAUAGAUUUAAAACAAAACAGUAUAAUGAUAUGGUCAAACAGAGUUAUUAUGAUUUUAGAAAAGCUACAUUAUUUGACCAAAGAUUACAGGACCUUAGAUAUGCCAUCAAUGAAGGUGUCACUCAAGAAUUUAAUUAUAAUGAGCCUUACAAAUCUGAAUCUUCAGUCACAGUUCCAAAGAGUCCACAUGCAGUAUUCCGAGAACUUUUUGUUGAUAAUCAAUUGUUGGAUAAUUAUGAUCAGGAACUCAUGGGUCAUUUGACCACUUUGCAAUUACAAGGUUUAUCACAUCAAGCACUAGAAGAAAUUUGUGAGGAUCCAGCUCUGCAGAAUGAGAUAGCUGAUAUUAAUCAGAGUGAUGACAUAGUAAAUUCAAAAAUUGAAGCAAUACAGAAUUUGGGUCUUAAAAAAGCGCAAAAGGCUUUGAAAGAUAAGCGUAAAAAAUUACGUGAUAAGCGAAGAGCCGUGCAGGAAAUCAACAUGAAAGAAGAUAUAAAAGAACUGGAGCGUAGAGGGAAAGAAGAAGGAUUGCAAAGGACAUUGUCUUCACACUUGCAACUUCUCUGCUCACUGAAUAUGGUGGCUGAGGCUGAUCGAGUUCUAAAAUAUUACAUGAUGAGAGGUUCAAAGAAUGCCCAACUGCCACAAGUGAACAAUGUUAAAAUAUACAAUAUUCUCUUACAUGGACAUGCUUCCUUGGGGCAGCUAGGUAAUGCAAAAUCAGUACUGUCACAAAUGCUUGACAAUGAUGUAGCUGUUAAUGCACAAACAUUUGCCGCUAUGUUUGAGUGUGUGGAGCGAAGUGAAGUUGAGGACAAGAAUACAGUUUUGAGUUAUUAUAGACAAGUAAUGGAGGAAAAGGGUAUACAAUUAAAUGACCUACUCGACAAAUCAAAGUUUCUAUUUGAUCAACGUGAAACCGUCCUACAAGCUAUUCGACGAAUUGAACCACAUUUUGAACCCAAAUAUACACCGCCCCCUUUGGAUUAUAAUUGUCCCUUACUAAAUAAACUAAAACUGGAUAAUGUAGAUGACAGAAAAGGGCUAUUUAGAUCACCGGCAGAAGAUUUAUUAUCCUUUGAAGAAUUAAAGGCAAAAGGUGCAGAACAAAUAGCAAUGGAAAUGAACGGAGAAAUUGAUGUCGAGAAUAUUGCUAUAAAAGAUGAUGAGUCCGCCAGUGUUCGGGUAUAUCGGGAAUUAUGGAACGAGGCAGAAAAGGAAUGGCGUGAAGUUAUAAGGGAAGCGUUCAUACGAAAUUUGGGAACUCUCAAAUCACGAAGCAACGCUUCGCACUCGGCUAUCACGUUGUACCCAUAUCUUAAAGUGCUUGAGGUAGACGAGAUAGUGGAUCUAGUAAUGGGUGAGAUAACGAAGUUGGUGGAUGGAAGUGAGACGUACAGCCCCACACUCAAGUUGCUCCAGCGAGACUUGGGAGCUCAGGUGUACAACAAAUAUCAAAUAGAUCAAUAUAAAAGGAAUGGUGUUCUUGAGAAAAUCGAAAAAGUCUACGAGAAAUACUGUAAGUGGUAUUUGGAAAGAUUCCCUCUGGAUGACACGGGGCGAGCGUACAAUGGGCGGCAGGCUUGGCAACUCAUAGUGCAUCAGAACAGCGUGGGUGCUAGUUUGGAUAUAGAAGAGAAUCCAUGGUCACAGGAAAUCCGACAGAAUAUUGGCAAAUUCCUUUACAAUAUCAUUAUUAAUGAUAUCAAGAUUGAUGUGAAUCUCUUCAAACCCAAAACCAAAGUUAAAAAACUCCCAGCGGUGUAUAAAGUCCACCGUCCGUGGGGUCGUUAUUACCGCCUGGAGUUGAAACCUCACCCCGUGCUCAUACGUCUUUGUGCGGCCACGUCCCGUCCGGCGUUGCGCAUGCGCACGUCUUUAGCACCCACCGUGUCUCCGCCCACGCCUUGGCUCACUGCCACUACGCCAGCUGCUUAUUUGUUGACUGGCACGCCGCUAGUAAGAAUGCCAAUUUAUGUGAUGAGUCAAAUGCAACGACUCAAAGAGGCCCCUCAAGCAGAUUUGUACCCAGUGCUUGAUAGUUUGAACCAAUUGGGUGAAGUUCCGUGGGUCAUUAACCAACCCAUACUCGAUUUGCAGCUGAAACUGUUUCGAUCGGGCGGUGAUAAAAAGCUAGACAUUCCACCUCCGGCUUCCUCUCUACAGUUAUCAGAAAUAGAAGCGCCAUCAAACGGCUCGGAAGCCAGCGCUUCGUACAAACGACGAAUUGCCUUGAACCGCGCACGCGCAGAUAUGCAUUCGCUGUGGUGCGAUUCGCUGUACAAGCUGUCUUUGGCCAAUCAUUACAGGGAACGAAUGUUCUGGCUACCACACAACAUGGACUUCCGCGGUCGCGUAUACGCAGUCGGCCCGCACGUGUCCGCUCUGGGUGCGGACGCGGCACGUGCGCUUCUCAUGCUCGCCCGCGAAAGGCCGCUGGGCAAACGUGGCCUCUAUUGGCUUAAACUACACGCUAUCAACCUAACUGGGACUAAAAAAAGGAGUACUGUAGAAGAGAGGAUAGAAUACGCAGACAGCAUAAUUGACCAGAUCCUAGACUCGGCAGACAAUCCGUUAGAUGGCGCUGGUUGGUGGAAGAAUUCUGAAGAGCCCUGGCAAACCUUGGCCUGUUGUAUGGAGAUAGCCAAAGCCGUACGGUCACCCAACCCCGAAGAGUACAUGUGCGGAUUCCCCGUACACCAAGACGGAUCCUGCAAUGGUCUGCAACAUUACGCAGCUUUGGGUGGAGACUCUUCCGGGGCCUCGGCUGUUAAUCUUGCGCCUUUGGAUCGACCGCAAGAUGUUUAUAGCGAAGUCGCUGCAUUGAUUGAAACAAUGCGAAUCCGUGAUGCUGAAGCUGGUGUCCAGCCAGCGAUCAUCUUGGACGGGUUUGUCAGAAGAAAGGUGAUCAAACAGACGGUUAUGACCACUGUCUAUGGAGUUACGAGGUUCGGUGCCCGGCUGCAGAUCGCUAAGCAGCUUAAAGAUAUAGACGAUUUCCCCAAGGAGCACGUUUGGUCCUGUUCCCAAUAUCUCACGACGAAGACCUUCGACAGUCUUCGGGAGAUGUUCACCUCAACUAAACUUAUACAGGACUGGUUCACCGAUUGUGCCAAGUUAAUAUCGGGCGUGUGCGGGGAAAGUGUCGAAUGGCGAACGCCUUUAGGCCUUCCCGUACUGCAGCCCUACUACCGUCGAGCUAAUUCUAGCACAUCCCCUUGCGCGCCGCCUGUCGACUUGCACCAACGUCCAUGCACAAUGAAGCAACGGAACGCGUUUCCGCCAAAUUUUAUCCAUUCCCUGGACUCGUCCCACAUGAUGCUGACGGGGCUCCAUUGUGAGGCUGCGGGGGUGACCUUCGUCUCGGUGCAUGACUGCUUUUGGACUCACCCUGAUACCGUCGACCAAAUGAACCAGAUAUGCCGUGAACAAUUUGUGGCACUUCACUCACAGCCCAUACUCAAUGAUUUGUCGGAUUUCAUGGUCAAAAGAUACAGUUACUCAGAAAAUGAAAUACAAAAUGGCGCUGUCGGUAUCUCAAACAAGAAACGCGUAAAUGCUUUACUACAAAAAGUGCCAGAAAAAGGAGACUUUGACAUUAAUAGUGUUUUAAGAUCUGUGUACUUUUUCAGUUAAGUUUCUAUAAAUAAUUUUUAGUUCUAUUGGUUGAUACCUUCUAGCUCUACGCAGGUGAAGAUUAAUCAUUGUAUUAAUGAUGAUUACCCGCCCUCUUAUAAGAUAAUCUUAAAUUGUCAUAUACACCUUCAUUGUUCUACGCAAAGAAUAUAUGGAAAGUGAUAAAGUCAAAAGCUUUUUGUGGUUUAAUGUACGUGCACGUAUACGUUAAAUGAUCUAAAAAAUAUACGGACGCAUAAACCUCAAAUAUCUGAGAGAUUUAUAUGAAUUAAACUUUGUGUUGUUUGGUUAUUUGGCAACACACAUAUACAACAUUGUCUCUGAAAUUAUCUGAAUAUUUUAUACAAAGUACGAGAUUUUUCUAUGGAACUUGACGACUGCACUUAUACAAGUUUUAUUUAAAGAAUUCUGCCUCGAUGCUGUCUGCCUGAAACUAUAGUUUCUAUAGGAAAAUCGACGACUCGUGGCAAUUACGACUCGUAUUUUGGAUAUAUUUAUUUAGUUUAAAGCUUGAAUUUUGGUUCUGAUCAGUCGAAAUACGUUUGAGAAAGGCAUGUGCUUAUAUGAAUUAUGAAAGAAAUACUCCAACUGUAAUGAUGAAGGAUAAUAAUAGUUUGUGACGGUAAAGCAAAUGAGGGUAUGACAAGGAAUUAUAGACUGAUGUAGGUAGUACGAAUUAAAUAACAUUACACUUGUAAUUUUCUAAUAAGCUUUUAAAAUAAGUAAUCGGAUUAAAACGAGUGUACCAUUUUAUGCAAAAUAACUCGUUAAAUCCGAUAAAAUAUGAUUUAUGCUUAUACUCCAAAACCUGCGAAGUUGAUGUAGUUUGUCGAAUGCUGUAGUAUUAUUGUAGUGCAAAAAUACAAACUGUGAUUGUCUAACAAUAUAAUAAGUUGAUUCUAA